UAGGGAAUCUUCCGCAAUGGGCGAAAGCCUGACGGAGCAACGCCGCGUGAGUGAUGAAGGUCUUCGGAUCGUAAAACUCUGUUAUUAGGGAAGAACAAAUGUGUAAGUAACUAUGCACGUCUUUACGGUACCUAAUCAGAAAGCCACGGCUAACUACGUGCCAGCAGCCGCGGUAAUACGUAGGUGGCAAGCGUUAUCCGGAAUUAUUGGGGGUAAAGCGCGCGUAGGCGGUUUUUUAAGUCUGAUGUGAAAGCCCACGGCUCAACCGUGGAGGGGCAUUGGAAACUGGAAAACUUGAGUGCAGAAGAGGAAAGUGGAAUUCCAUGUGUAGCGGUGAAAUGCGCAGAGAUAUGGAGGAACACCAGUGGCGAAGGCGACUUUCUGGUCUGUAACUGACGCUGAUGUGCGAAAGCGUGGGGAUCAAACAGG
rnacentral:rRNA from 1 species